AUGAGUAGCCACUGCACCUUGCCCUGCGCCAUCAAUGAGAAGAUCUGCUCUUAGUAGAGCCCUGCUUUCCCGCUGAAGGCCCUGAAAUCACCUGUGUUCCAGGCCACCCACUAAGGAUAAACAAAGCUUCCCUGAUAUGGGGAAUUAGCUCAAGUGGUAGAGCGCUUGCUUAGCAUGCAAGAGGUAGUGGGAUCAAUGCCCACAUUCUCCAAGCUUUAUUAUUUAGGUACCCAAACCCGAGUCAGUGUCUGAGAGCAAGACACUGCUCUCGGUGUCUUUGGUUCAAGACAUAGGAGCAGCAACAAUACAGGACUGGUGACAGCUUCCUGCUGGCAUUCAGUAUAGUGUAGAUCUACUGUGUAAUUAAUUUUCUGUUUCUUCGAGGAGCUGUGAAACCAAAGGACAUAUAAAACUGCUCUUUUCUCCCUGUUUCUGCCUGCACACUCCAGAGAUCUCUCAUCCGCAGUGUCAAGGCUUUCAAAUAGAGUUAUCUGUGAAACAACAACACAUGGAAGUCUGGUUGGUACUUGGAGCUUAAAUACAAGGCAAUUGUGUGCCUGCAAAAACAAAAAGAGCAAUAUUAUCCUUAAGAUUUCAACAAGACACAGUGUCUCAUCACAUAAUCCAAAGAAGUCCAGGUUACAAGCCCCAAAAUAUUCAGCAUUAUGAAAAACCAGGGAGAUCUUAAUUCACAUGGCAAAGAGAAUCCUUGCAUAACAAUAUUGAGAGGACACAUAUGUCAAAAUCAUCUGACACAUACAUUAAAGCAGUUAUUAUAACAAUGCUCCUAGAAUUACGGGAUAGCAUUCAUGAAGUGAAUGGAAAGUUGGAAAGUCUCACCAAAUAUUUGGAAUAUGUAAACACCAAUUUAAACUUAAGAAUUAAAAAAAGUAUUAACCAAAACUAUUAGGGGAAAUAAAAAGCUUAAUUGGAUGAUCUCAAUAGCAGUAUGCAGAAGACUAAGGAAAAAGUCAAUGAACUUGAAAACGGAACAAGAAUACCUACAGAAUCUGACCUAUAGAAAGAAAGGAGGAUUUUAUUGUCCCUGAACAGAGGCUCAGGGACAAAUAAAAAAUAACAAAUCUAACAUUCACAUUAUUGUAAUCUGGAAACAUUCACAUUAUUGUAAGAGGACAAAGAGGUCUUUGUGGGAUAAAACUGUGAAGAAUUAAUGGCUGAAAAUGUAUCAAAUUUCUCAAAAGAUAUAAACCAGAUUUUUAAAGUUCAGUAAAUGUCAAGCAGGAUAAACCAAAAGAAACCCAUUGCAAGACAUAUCAUAAUCAAACUGCGGAAAAUUAAGAAAACACAAAAC
rnacentral:tRNA from 1 species